GUUCAUUCAAUGGGCCCUGUUUAAAAUGUUCUGUAAAGAAACUAUUACAAAGGUUUGGCUGUUUUUCUUUUCAGAAUGGUGAAAGAUGGCCCCCAGCAAGCGAGGCAAAAGACAAUACAGCUACAAAAGCCGUUGGGCUAGGCUCCCUGACCACCAUGUUGGCGCUGGCCCCAUUGCUUUCAGAAUCAGCCCACAGAUAGAGGAAAAGAAUUAAAACCUAGGCACUUUAAAAUUACUCUGUUCCAGUGUGAAAUAUACUGGGAGUCCUGCAGUGAUUUCAUGCUCUUUAUUGCAGCUUAUAAAACAGUGAUUAAAUUUCC